rnacentral:lncRNA from 1 species
CUGGGAAAUAAUUUUUGGAAAAAUAUCGAUUUAAGUUGAAAUGAUAUGACAUUUGUUUUAGUGGGAACUCAUUUUUUUCCUAUUUAAGGAUUGCAAAUACAACUGGACGUCAUAGGUCAAACGAUGACGUCAUUCGAAUUAUGACGUAACGCUAGGUAUGCGAUACGGGUUUAGCCAUGCGAUACGGGGUAUGCGAUACAGGGUAGGUGAUACAGACUGGAAAAAAGAACCUUUAUUAGAUAUACAAAAAAGCUGUAUUUUGUACUAAAUAUAUGAUAAAUAUA